GGGGUUCCUGGUGAUGCGAUUUUUUUACCCACUGCCCAAAAUCACAUUGCCAGGGAUUUCCAA
rnacentral:pre_miRNA from 1 species